rnacentral:rRNA from 1 species
AGAGUUUGAUCCGGGCUCAGGAUGAACGCUAGCGGCAGGCCUAAUACAUGCAAGUCGGACGGGAUUGAGAAGCUUGCUUUUCAUGAGAGUGGCGCACGGGUGCGUAACACGUAUGUAACCUACCAUUGUCAGGGGGAUAGCCUCUCGAAAGAGAGAUUAACACCGCAUAACACUGAGAUCUGGCAUCAGAUUUCAAUCAAAUAUUUAUAGGACAAUGAUGGGCAUGCGGGACAUUAGCUAGAUGGUGAGGUAACGGCUCACCAUGGCGACGAUGUCUAGGGGAUCUGAGAGGAUGACCCCCCACACUGGUACUGAGACACGGACCAGACUCCUACGGGAGGCAGCAGUAAGGAAUAUUGGUCAAUGGAGGCAACUCUGAACCAGCCAUGCCGCGUGCAGGAAGACGGCCCUACGGGUUGUAAACUGCUUUUGUACCGGAAUAAACCUAGAUACGUGUAUCUAGCUGAAUGUACGGUAAGAAUAAGGAUCGGCUAACUCCGUGCCAGCAGCCGCGGUAAUACGGAGGAUCCAAGCGUUAUCCGGAUUUAUUGGGUUUAAAGGGUGCGUAGGCGGCUUGUUAAGUCAGGGGUGAAAGGCGGUAGCUUAACUAUCGGAGUGCCCUUGAUACUGACGAGCUUGAAUGCAGCUGAGGUAGGCGGAAUGUGACAAGUAGCGGUGAAAUGCAUAGAUAUGUCACAGAACACCGAUUGCGAAGGCAGCUUACUAAAGUGCGAUUGACGCUGAGGCACGAAAGCGUGGGGAUCAAACAGGAUUAGAUACCCUGGUAGUCCACGCCCUAAACGAUGAAUACUCGAUGUUGGCGAUAUACGGUCAGCGUCUAAGCGAAAGCGUUAAGUAUUCCACCUGGGGAGUACGCCCGCAAGGGUGAAACUCAAAGGAAUUGACGGGGGCCCGCACAAGCGGAGGAGCAUGUG